rnacentral:rRNA from 1 species
GACGAACGCUGGCGGCGUGCUUAACACAUGCAAGUCGAACGGAAAGGCCCUGCUUUUGUGGGGUGCUCGAGUGGCGAACGGGUGAGUAACACGUGAGUAACCUGCCCUUGACUUUGGGAUAACUUCAGGAAACUGGGGCUAAUACCGGAUAGGAGCUCCUGCUGCAUGGUGGGGGUUGGAAAGUUUCGGCGGUUGGGGAUGGACUCGCGGCUUAUCAGCUUGUUGGUGGGGUAGUGGCUUACCAAGGCUUUGACGGGUAGCCGGCCUGAGAGGGUGACCGGCCACAUUGGGACUGAGAUACGCCCCAGACUCCUACGGGAGGCAGCAGUGGGGAAUAUUGCACAAUGGGCGGAAGCCUGAUGCAGCAACGCCGCGUGCGGGAUGACGGCCUUCGGGUUGUAAACCGCUUUCGCCUGUGACGAAGCGUGAGUGACGGUAAUGGGUAAAGAAGCACCGGCUAACUACGUG